UAUGUUUUAGUAUAUGAUGUAUCUGAAUUUUUGAAAUUUAAGGUAAUAGUUUAAAUCUAUUAAACAUAA
rnacentral:tRNA from 1 species